GACGAACGCUGGCGGCGUGCCUAAUACAUGCAAGUCGAACGCUUCUUUCCUCCCGAGUGCUUGCACUCAAUUGGAAAGAGGAGUGGCGGACGGGUGAGUAACACGUGGGUAACCUACCCAUCAGAGGGGGAUAACACUUGGAAACAGGUGCUAAUACCGCAUAACAGUUUAUGCCGCAUGGCAUAAGAGUGAAAGGCGCUUUCGGGUGUCGCUGAUGGAUGGACCCGCGGUGCAUUAGCUAGUUGGUGAGGUAACGGCUCACCAAGGCCACGAUGCAUAGCCGACCUGAGAGGGUGAUCGGCCACACUGGGACUGAGACACGGCCCAGACUCCUACGGGAGGCAGCAGUAGGGAAUCUUCGGCAAAGGACGAAAGUCUGACCGAACAACGCCGCGUGAGUGAAGAAGGUUUUCGGAUCGUAAAACUCUGUUGUUAGAGAAGAACAAGGACGUUAGUAACUGAACGUCCCCUGACGGUAUCUAACCAGAAAGCCACGGCUAACUACGUG
rnacentral:rRNA from 1 species